GCCCCAUAGAUACACCCCAUAGCACUGCCCUGCCCCAUAGAUGUGCCCCACAGCAACGAGGCCUCCAGCUUCGUGGGGACCCCGUACUGGUAACAUCCUGCCCCAUAGAUCUGCCCCAUAGAUCCACCCCAUAGCACAGCCUGCCCCAUAGAUACACCCCAUAGCACAGCCCUGCCCCAUAGAUCUGUGUGCCCCACAGCAACGAGGCCUCCAGCUUCGUGGGGACACCGUACUGGUAACACCCCAUAGAUCACCCCAUAGAUACACCCCAUAGAUCCACCCCAUAGUGCUGCCCUGCCCCAUAGAUACACCCCAUAGCACUGCCCUGCCCCAUAGAUCUGUGUGACCCACAGCAACGAGGCCUCCAGCUUCGUGGGGACACCGUACUAGUAAUGCCCUGCCCCAUAGCACUGCCCCAUAGCACUGCCCCAUAGCACUGCCCUGCCCCAUAGAUACACCCCAUAGCACUGCCCUGCCCCAUAGAUGUGCCCCACAGCAACGAGGCCUCCAGCUUCGUGGGGACCCCCUACUGGUAAUGCCCUGCCCCAUAGAUGUGCCCCAUAGCACUGCCCCAUAGCACUGCCCUGCCCCAUAGAUCUACCUCACAGCAACGAGGCCUCCAGCUUCAUGGGGACACCGUACUGGUAACGCCCCAUAGAUCACCCUAUAGAUCCACCCCAUAGAUACACCCCAUAGCACAGCCUGCCCCAUAGCACUGCCCCAUAGCACAGCCCUGCCCCAUAGAUGUGCCCCACAGCAACGAGGCCUCCAGCUUCGUGGGGACACCCUACUGGAUGGCCCCAGAGGUGAUCCUGGCCAUGGAUGAGGGUCGAUACGACGGCAGAGCUGAUGUGUGGGGGCUGGGCAUCACCUGCAUUGAGCUGGCGGAGCGGAAGCCUCCGCUGUUUGCACUGAACGCCAUGGCAGCGCUCUACCACAUCGCACAGAGCUGCGCCCCACAGCUGCAUGGAGACCAGUGGUGAGACCCAUAGCCUGCCCCAUAGACACCCCAUAGCUGCCCCAUAGACACCCCAUAGAGACCCCAUAGGGUUCCAUUGAGACCCAUUGAGUUCUAUUGGGAUCCACUGAGACCCACAGGGACUCCUUAGAGACCCCAUAGCUGCCCUAUAGCUGCCCCAUAGAGACCCCAUAGAGACCCUAUAGCUGCC